GCGUGUGUGUGUGGCCCCUUAGCUUUGGGAGCAGAGAGGAGAGCGGGCUGGUUCCCCGCUGCGGCGGAGGCGGCAGGGCCGGGCUGGAGGAGGGGCAGCGGCGCGGGGGAGGUUCAAGUUGGCGGCCGCUGCCGCUGCCGCUCCCGGGGCACUUGGUUCACUGCAGAAGGAGCGGGAAAAGCAGUAGGGACGCCGCGUGGGGCGGCGGCGGGAGGGGCAGCGGCAGAGGUCUAGGUUCUUCUACCUUUUAUUCAACUUAUAUCAAGUUACUAAAGACAACCCUGUAGUCUGCGAGACCUCGGCAAGACAGUUGAGUCCUGUUGAACCCCAUGUCAAAGUCUCUCGUAGUCUUAUAACAACCUAUUCGACCUUCCCUCUAGGAAUAGUCCCUGAUAAAUUGUAGGCGUUAAAGUAGUCUGAUUAUUCCAAUUUUACCGACCACAACGAUCCUUUCCCUCCAGGUUCACCCUGUGUGUCCUUUAAAGAGGACUAUAACAACUCUAGUCACUUCUGCUGAGAGGAGGAUUCUUAUGUCUACUAGCGGCGUUUCUACACUAGGGAUGAGUCCUAGAGUGAUUACUAUUACCUUUCGCUGAACCACUUAGAAGAUUGGAUUUUGGACUACGGAAGUACGUGGUUCCGUCAUGACUUAUGCUCGUCCUUGCGUGACUACCCAAUUUAUUUCUACAGUUCCUUUCCGUUAGAUUUCGCAGUAGACUUUCCAGCGUACGAGGAUCUUACCGACUUCUCCGCGUAUUAUUACUACUGACCCCAUUCAAUCGAAGAAACCUUUUCCGUUGACCAUUGGUUCGAUACUCGUCUUUACGACUACUGUCUUCUGCACCUCUACCUACCCCGUGUCGACGAUCGGCACCAAUAAGAAGAUCCCACAGCAGACCAGGUCUACGUACCUUCGUCGCGUGAGCGUCAGGUAGAGGUUCUCCACGAACCUUGUCCAGUGCGUCCUUGUCUUCACCGAGGUCUUCGUCCUCAUCUCUCGCUCAAUCUCCCUCUUCGUCUUCAGCUUCAGCCUCAGGAAUAAAACUGGCACCUAGACUAACCUCCCGACUCUCUCCGUCUUAUAGACCUCCCGGAAGAAACGAGACGUCUCUAAAAUGUCGACCAUCUACGUCUUCUCCGAACGUAACGUCCAAAGGAGUACUUCUACCACCCGCUUCCGUCAAGCUGCUCGGAAUAGGGCGUCUGAGCUCCCUUUCCAUACCGGUAGUCUUGUUCCUAAAGUACCUAGGUGCUCUUGGUCUACUGAUACGUGCCUCGUCCGUUGGAGCUCCAGUAAAACUACUUCCAUGAACCCUUUCUAGACUUGGGGCUUCUCUAAUGUCCAGAAGACUAGUUACGGUACUCAAACAGUUUCCUUCCACGUCGUCUCCACGUUCAACGUCUAUACAAGUACUACUCAGGCGAAGAGUACGACCUACCUCUCUACUACGAUCCCUUUGUCGAGUACACUCUCCACCAGGACUAAGUAGGAAACCCUUAUCCUGUCUCGUGGCAUCUCUUGUUUUUUCCGGGACAUUUAAAAAACGACUUCCAGCGACGGCAGCACCACUUUGAACAGGUAUAGAGGUACUCCUUCGAGGGGUCUCAGUUUACCCGGGUCCACGUAGGCUACUCGGAGGUUUUAUGUCACCACCCGCGUGUGGUUCUCCUUUAAUAAGCUUAACCCCGCUUCUUUGAUUACGGUGUGUACGCCCAAGAGUAUAAAAUAGGUCUCUACUGUCCCUUUUGUGACCAAGAGUCGUAUGACGGUCUUCACUAUGACCUAUACCCAUGUUUUCGGCCGUUAACCUUCUACGACCUUCCCUAGUCAUGGUCUAUUAAGGAGUCCUCCUAAAACCAAGUGUUCCCGCUUUGUUUGGACUUUACAGACGAAGUUUUGUCGGUGUCAAAAAUUCAGGAUAGGUUUGUUCACGUCUAUCGUACUUGUUACUGUUCCAUAGACUGUACCUACCAGACUCACGUAGACGAUGGUGACCGUUAAACUCAUACGUUUGACCCUAUGUACGACGAUUAGAAAAUCCACCCGUCUCGAACUCGGUUUAUCGCGUCUCGGUUCUACGUCAAGGAGUUUGAAGACCCCGUGGUUAAGUAGGUCAGUGUUCGGUCGUCGUCCUACGAUGUAGGCACAACGGAAAAUUAUAGGUUGGCGUACUUUCGUUGAAAAGUAAUGUAGGCUUGUCCGUUCUGGUCAAAUCGUUGAAGAGUAAUGUAGGUCUGUCCGUUCUAGUUAAACAUCGAAGAGUCCGUUGACGUUUAUUGAGUCGAGGAUCGUACGUCUUAGUCGGUCAUCGGCGAGGAAUAUACCCUGUGUCGGUUGUGUCGAUGUGAGAUCCAAGUGUCCGUAACGGACGUAAAUUACCUGUAUUAAAGUCACAGCGACCAGUUCAAGGCGUUCUAGCGGGUUGCGGAAAGAUACGACCCGUCUCAGUCCGUUGGCAACUGUACAGGUUAGGAUUGGUUCUCUCACCAUGAGUGUCGUACGUUUUGUGUGUAUCAAAGGUCGGACAACGAGGUUUAUACGUUCGAGCGUCAGUUCGGAACGUCCCCGAUAGACCUCACGGACCGGUUCUAUGGCCAUGGGUUUCGUAUGUCUUGCGUGUGUUAAAGGUCGGACAACGAGGAGGUAUAUACGUUUUGGCCCCAGUUUGGAACGUCCCAAAUAGCUAUAACGGUUCGAGGUCGAGUCGACUAUACGGACCACGAGGGGGACAAGGAGGAUUACUCCUUCUUUAGGCGGCAAGUAAUUGUAGAGACCGCCGUUGGGAGUAUUACGUCGGACCAUGUCAACGACCUGAUGUCAACGGGGUCGGAUAAGACUUAGGCUCGAACUACCGGUCAAACAGUCGACAACUUGGGUCAGUCACCGGAACCCGUGUCGUCGUGUUCCGUCCUUGUUGGGUUGAGCGUGUCGUCGUUGUCCGUCCUUACUGGGUUGAGCGCGUCAGACUUGUCGUUCGAGGGGUCGUCUGUAACGGCCGUGGAAGAUGCCGUCAACCGUCAUCAUUACCGUUGUUGGGUCGCGUCAGCUAGCCAGUCUGGCGACGCUGUAGUCACCAAUGGCGCGGUGUCCGACGUCUUUUAUUCUUUCAUCUUCGGUUUCGGUUUCUAUUGCUACCGCUUGUUCUACCGCUGUUCUUAUUUUUCCCGUUGUUCCUCCUCAGGUUCCGCGACUUCUACAAGUUUGAGCGCGAGCGUCUGAAACACUUCCUGCGCGAGUUUGGAUGGACCUUUCUCCCGGUCGACUGGUCCCUCCAAGUGUUUUGGUAUCACUUCUUCCAGCAGCUGUUUCAGUGCUCGUGCCAGCUUUUGUGGGGAGGUUGUUUUCUCUUCUAGCUACAGAUGUACAGGAUGAGCUUCCUUUUUGACUCGUUUGAACAUGUCCGCAUACAGCCGUUCAUACAGUUCCGCAUCGUGGUGGGGCGGCCGGUUUUACCGCUGUAGCCCGCAGACAGACAAAAACACGGAACACACUGUCCUUCUUACCUUUCGUCCCAAAUCCACCGUUCCCAAAGAAAAACAAGACAAAGUCCGCGGAACACGUUUACAACGGAUCACAACAUAGUAGCAGAGGAGGAAAACAUGUUGUUGUGGUAAACUUUGUACUUGGAAGACAUCGCCAUCUAUCUAUAUCCAAUACGUUUUCUGCACCCAGCCAGCACCAGCAGAAGUACUUGUGGCCCGCACAAGGCACAAACGUACGUACAUCUUGAACUGAAUCGUACUGACGGUUAAGUUUGAGACAGGAGACAAACAGACCAACCAACAAACAAAG
rnacentral:rRNA from 1 species